rnacentral:rRNA from 1 species
UGGCGGACGGGUGAGUAAUGUCUGGGAAACUAGCCUGAUGGAGGGGGAUAACUACUGGAAACGGUAGCUAAUACCGCAUAACGUCGCAAGACCAAAGAGGGGGACCUUCGGGCCUCUUGCCAUCGGAUGUGCCCAGAUGGGAUUAGCUAGUAGGUGGGGUAACGGCUCACCUAGGCGACGAUCCCUAGCUGGUCUGAGAGGAUGACCAGCCACACUGGAACUGAGACACGGUCCAG